rnacentral:rRNA from 1 species
UGAGCAAUCUGCCCUUCUCUUUGGAAUAAGCGUUGGAAACGACGUCUAAUGCCGAAUACGACCUCCUUUCGCAUGAUCGGAGGUGGAAAGCUCCGGCGGAGAAGGAUGAGCUCGCGGCCUAUCAGCUAGUUGGUGUGGGUAAUGGCCCACAAGGCGACGACGGGUAGCCGGCCUGAGGAGGGUGACCGGCCACAUUGGAACUGAGACACGGUCCAGACCUCCGUACGGGGAGCAG